UUAUCUCUCCCACUUAUCUAUAACUCCUCUCUUCACUCUCUGUUCGAUUUCCAUUUUCGGUCACGACCAAACGACGCACAACCCUAAUCGACGGUAAGACUGGCCCCUUCUCUCUCUCUAAAAUGGCUGUUAAUUUUUAUUGGUUCCACGGUUGCUUUCUCCCUCUUUCUUAGGGCUUAAAGGUGGUGUUUUUUAUCUUUUAUAUAAGUAUUUUUAGAACCUACACCAGAAAACUUCACACAGUGACAAGCGUUAAUAAUGCGUAUAAUCUGAUCGAAAAAUUCAAAAUAUUUACCCCGAUCCAAACUUUAAAAUCAGAUCCGAUCUGAUGCUAAUUUCGGUUGGAAUCGAAUUGCAUUUUGUAGAAUUUUAAAAUCCAUACUCUCAAUUCGAAAUAUUCUAAAUACGAUCCGACCGAUGCUUGUCUUUAAAUCAGAGAGAAUGUGGUGUAGUUUUGGAUUUUUAUCUGAUGUACUCCUAUAUGAGAACAAGAAAAAUACUGUAAUCACUUGUUGUCGAGAUAUAGAUUUUCAUUUAGCUGCCUCUAAGUUGAAGCAGAUAUUUUUCUGGAGCAUGAUUUAUAACCAUCGCCAUUAUGUGUUAUAUGGAACUUGGGAUAUACUCUUAAAAAUUAUUGCAUCAAUUGAAUUAGGUGUUCAUUUGAUCCAUUGGCAAGAUCCUAUGAUUUGAUAGGAGCUAAAAAAAGAGAUAGUUGCUGUCAAAAUAGUAAUUUAUACCUUCAUUGCUCCUUUUUUUGUAAUGAUUAAAGUCGUCACUGAAAUUCUUAUUUGUUGCAGUUAUUAAUGACAAAACUAAAGUUCUAUAAAACAUUCUUCAUCCAUGUAGCCCCUCCAAAAAUAAGAUAUGGUUUAGGAACAAUAUUUGGUCUAAAGAAUUGGGAAUUUUAUCAAAAGAAAAGAGUGUUAACAGUCAUGUAUGAAGAAUUGAUUGCUGCAAUUGUUCCUUCUCCUAUAAUAUUUUUCAGUUUAAAAUGAAUGAUACAAGAUGAGCUCAAAUUUGUAUAGGGUAAAAUUAAUAAAUGAUAGGUGGAAGUUUGAUGAAGUGACACGUGGAAGCAAAGACAAGUAAUAUAUGAGUCUGCUAAAGGCUAGUAUUGGUUUCGAAUAUGUGACCGGUGCUGGAUAAAUUCCGAGAACAGUAAAAUCGAGGACGAAGAUUUGAAGGGAAGAUAUCGGUUGGAAAAGACAUCAUUCAAUGAGCAGUCGUUACAAAGAAUCUCUGUAUUAAUAUUCAACCGUUAUGUAGCUAUCAAAAUGGUUUUUAUUCACAUUAAAGAAGAGCUUGAAUUGGGGAUCUUAUCUCCCUGAAUUGAGCUAUAAAUAGAAGAACUCAGAUUUAUUAUAGGACACGAAAUAUUCUGUACUCAAAAGCCAAAUCUGCUCUUAAUAUAUUUUGCUACUUUCUUCUUUU
rnacentral:lncRNA from 1 species